rnacentral:rRNA from 1 species
GACGAACGCUGGCGGCGUGCUUAACACAUGCCAGUCGAACGGAAAGGCCCUGCUUUUGUGGGGUGCUCGAGUGGCGAACGGGUGAGUAACACGUGAGUAACCUGCCCUUGUCUUUGGGAUAACUUCAGGAAACUGGGGCUAAUACCGGAUAGGAGCUCCUGCUGCAUGGUGGGGGUUGGAAAGUUUCGGCGGUUGGGGAUGGACUCGCGGCUUAUCAGCUUGUUGGUGGGGUAGUGGCUUACCAAGGCUUUGACGGGUAGCCGGCCUGAGAGGGUGACCGGCCACAUUGGGACUGAGAUACGGCCCAGACUCCUACGGGAGGCAGCAGUGGGGAAUAUUGCACAAUGGGCGGAAGCCUGAUGCAGCAACGCCGCGUGCGGGAUGACGGCCUUCGGGUUGUAAACCGCUUUCGCCUGUGACGAAGCGUGAGUGACGGUAAUGGGUAAAGAAGCACCGGCUAACUACGUG